rnacentral:RNase_P_RNA from 1 species
UUAUAUAUUCGGGCAAUCGCUGCAAUGCUAGACAUUGUAGAGGAAAGUCCAUGCUCACACAAUUCUGAGAUGAAUGUAGUGUUCGUGCUUAGUGAAAAAAUAAACUAAGGCAGCUAUUUUUAGCUGACGGCGGGAUGAAGGCCUAAGUCCUUUUUAGGAUAUGGCUGACAAUCUCUGAAAGUGCCACAGUGACGUAGCUGUAUAGGAAACUAUACAGGUGGAACGAGGUAAACCCCACGAGUGAGAAACCCAAAUUAUGGUAGGGGCAUCUUCUUGAAGGAAAUGAACGGAUAGAAGAACAGAAGUUAUUCUGUAGAUAGAUGAUUGCCAUCUACACAGUACGAGGUAAAGCACCGUUUGAGUACCGUAGAGACAAAACAUGGCUUAUUGAGUGUAUGAGUGG